UUGCCCAGGUAGAUCUUGUUGACGUAGAGCUCGAGGAUCUCGUCCUUGGUCAGCUGUCGCUCGAUCUGCAGGGCCAGGAGGAUUUCAUUGAUCUUUCGCGAGAAGCUUCUUUCAUUGGUAAGGAAGUAGUUCUUCGCUACCUGCAUGGUGAUGGUGCUGCCGCCAGUCUGGAUGUGACCGCUUUUCAAUAAUUGCGCGGCGGCGCGCAUUAGGCUUUUCACAUCGACGCCAUAAUGGUUGGCGAAAUUGUCGUCCUCGGCG
rnacentral:sRNA from 1 species